GGUGGUGUGGCUCAGAGGUAGAGCGCUCGCCUGGCAUGCGUGAGGCACUGGGUUCGAUCCUCAGCACCACAG
rnacentral:tRNA from 1 species